CAGUUUUCAUAGAGGCAAGCCAGUUAAGUCAGUUACUUGAGAUGCGUUUAACUCUAAACUGACACAAAACUUGUGUUGAAUUUGUUCCGCAAAACCUUGAAAUUUGGGGUUAUGUACUACAGAAUUUGGCUUUUCUGGGUCCACCUUCCUGAGUGGGUUUAAAUAAACUGUGAAUAAUUAAAACAUAGGAAGGAAAAAAACACCACCUGUCCGUGCCUUUAACCAAGGCCUCAAUCUAUAUAUUAUAUGGCAAAAUGCUAAAAUAAAAGCUCAUCCGGGACAAACCCUAAGCAUGACACUGCCACUUAAGAAAUACACUGCGUCUCUGAAGAUUGCAAUCCCCACUGUGAAGAAAGAACAGGUGCUGCACCCGACAACCCACUCAAUCCUGCAGGACAAACCUCCUAGAACUGAUAAAUAUGGACUCAUUUAACCUUCCCAAAUAAGUUGAUACUCAAAAGCCGCCAGCUCGUCAUUUGCACAUCAAAAGGGAGUACAGCUGCACUCAAGCCUUUAACUGCCCUGCAUCAGUCCCUCGCGGAUCUUUGUGAGGGUCCACUCCCUGCUUUCUAGCCCGAGCAGCACUCAGAAAGAGCCCAUAACGCACGGGCAUCUUCCUCCCCACAAACCGCGACUCCAGGGACCGAGCUGCUGACGAAGGGAAGGUGAGGACCCAGUGUUCGCCCCUCCUGCCAUGUGAGGAUGCCCAGCAAGAUGGCCCUCACCAGGUAUCAAAUGCCAGAACCUUGAUCUUGGACUUCCCAGCCCCUACAACUAUGAGAAAUAAAUUUCGAUUGUUUAUACAUUACUCAGUCCAUGGUAUCCUGUUAUAGCAGCACAAACGGAGUAAGACACUCACUUACAAAAAACAGACUCAAAAUAAUCAGGCCCCCUUUUCUUGAACCCAGAACGGCAUGCAGUGCUGUGGAGACUGGAUCCUGGUUUGCAUCACUCAC
rnacentral:lncRNA from 1 species